GGAUGUUACAUUGAAUUCCCGAUAGGACGAUCUUGGUAGGUCGGAUUCCUUGUAACCGAAAAAAACGUAGGGGGAAUAUAGGAUG
rnacentral:sRNA from 2 species